AAAUGAAUUGGCUGAUGAGUUAGCUCGCACUGGAGCAUCACAUGACUUCAUUAGCCCUGAGGCAGCUAUUCCGGUAUCCAAGUGUUGGGUAAAGCUUCAGGUUGACACCUGGGCUGCCACUCAGCACAAACAAUACUGGAAUAGUUUGAAGUCAUGUCGUCAAACGAAAUUGUAUUGUACUGAGCCAUCUCUAUGAGUGGCAAAGUAUCUUAUCUAACAAAUCUGUCAAAGCAGAAUUGCAGCAUGCUGGUCAAAGCAUUAACUGACCACUGCCGACUCAGCUAUCGCAUGGCGAAUAUUCAGCAAGCUGAUUCAUUUGCCUGUGAUCCCAACUAACAUUUAUUGUGAAUGUAAACGUCAACAAAGCGUCCUUAAUACGGCUUGAUGCUGAGUAACUGUGUUGUACAUAUGGACGGAAGCUUCUAUGCAAGCCCUAUACCAAUGAAUCUGGCGAACUUAAUCAGCUUGUACAUGCUGUGCGAUCAGCUUCUAUGCCACCUAGUCAUAGCUCUUUUCUCGGCUCCUAUGUAACCACUAAAUGAAUAACAUCUUGAGAAGGCGCUUUUUCAGCCUUUUCACAGUUGUUAAAUAAUAGUUUUACGGCAUCCCCAAAUUAAACGAUUAAAUAUGGAAGCCAUGAUGAAAUACAUGUGGAACUGGAAUUAUCAUUUUUAAAAUUGAAUAAUUAAAGUACUUGCCGCUACUUGGAAUCGAACGAUCUCCGUAUCCACUGGUCCCGAUGAUGUCCUCGCUGCCACACUGCUAUAUAUAAAUAACAUAGAAAAUAGCCCGUUUUGUUUUACUCCAGACAAGGCUUCAUAAUUGUGCCACAAGAAACCUUACCCAACUUCAUCUUGCUGCAAAAGCUUGUGAAACGUCAAACGCAAUAAUGUUUACAUUGAACAAGCUGUGUGGUUGCGCCAACAGAUUCUUCUUCACAGCUUCUAGCUGAAAGAGUGUUCUUUAAACGGCUACGAAGCGCUGCUGUUUUGUGUUUUGGCAACAUUACAAAACGUAUUGUAUAAAAGCAGCUGUUGUAGUGGCUGGGACUCUUACUCGAUUUGCACAUCUUCCGGCAAAUCUUCCGGCAUUGAAUUAAAGUGCAAUAAAAACAACCCAAAUAAUUUCACAGCACAUACAUGGAUAGCUGUAAAGAAUUUGUGUAGUAGCAAUAUAUCCCGCUUAAAGUUUGUUUUGACAAUAAUGUUUAUAUCCGACAAGCCGUGUUGGUAAACCAACAGUUUCUUUAUUACAGCUUCUAGCCGUAAUGAAAUCGCAUAACGGCCUUUAAAGCGCUGCUGGUUUGGGGAUUUGUCAGUAUAAUGAAUUGUACUGUAUCAGUAGGUCGGCUCCAGAGGCACGUUCUCCUCCAUUUGGGAAAUUUGUGCCAUCGCCAUGAACACGAGCCUAUUCAUCAUUUACCUAUCGGAGAAGGGAAGGAAAAAGGAUAGGACAUGGGAAAGGACAGGUAAGGGAAUAGGAUCGUCAUACUCGCAAAAGCGUACCACAAUGGGUUCACAUAGCGUCCUGAAAAGGACACUGUAAUAACGCAUAAGCGUACCACAAUGGGUUCAAACAGCGCCCUGAGAAGGGCACUGUGAUAACGCAUAAAGCGUAAAGAGAGCCUAUAGCUCUUUACCACAGCGGGUCAAGAACAACAGAACGUCCUGAAGAUUCAGGUUUCUGAAGUCAGUUUCACUUAAUAAGUGUUUUCCGAGCACUCGGAAA